CUGGCCGGGGAGGAGGGGCGGCGGCGAAUGCUGGGAGAGUCCGACGAGCGCUGCACUAACGCAGGAUCCGGCUGCCGAAGGUCCUCGCCAGCAGGAUGAAGUUAAAGGAAGUAGAUCGUACAGCCAUGCAGGCAUGGAGCCCUGCCCAGAAUCACCCCAUUUACCUAGCAACAGGAACAUCUGCUCAGCAAUUGGAUGCAACAUUUAGUACGAAUGCUUCCCUUGAGAUAUUUGAAUUAGACCUCUCUGAUCCAUCCUUGGAUAUGAAAUCUUGUGCCACAUUCUCCUCUUCUCACAGGUACCACAAGUUGAUUUGGGGGCCUUAUAAAAUGGAUUCCAAAGGAGAUGUCUCUGGAGUUCUGAUUGCAGGAGAAUCGCUUGAACCCGGGAGGCGGAGAUCGCAGUGAGUUGAGAUCGUGCCAUUGCACUCCAGCCUGGGCAACGAGCAAAACUCAAAAAAAGAAAAAAGAAAUGUAAUGCAGAUUUAACAAAUAGUCAAUUAAGAUUCUUUGUACUGUUGCCUUCAUAAACAUUUCUGGUUGUUAAUUAUAUAAAUGCACAGCUUAAUAACGAUCUUAGCCUGAACAGGAUGGUGAAACCCUGUCAUUACAAAAAAUGCAAACAAUUAGCAGAACAUGGUGGCACACGCCUGUAGUCUCAGCUACACGGGAGGCUGAGGUAG
rnacentral:lncRNA from 1 species